rnacentral:rRNA from 1 species
GAUCAUGGCUCAGGAUGAACGCUAGCUACAGGCUUAACACAUGCAAGUCGAGGGGCAGCAUGGUCUUAGCUUGCUAAGGCCGAUGGCGACCGGCGCACGGGUGAGUAACACGUAUCCAACCUGCCGUCUACUCUUGGACAGCCUUCUGAAAGGAAGAUUAAUACAAGAUGGCAUCAUGAGUUCACAUGUUCACAUGAUUAAAGAAUUUCGGUC